AUGCCAGAGCCAGAUGAGCUUUUGGCGCCCCUGGUUCUGCCUGAAAUUCAACCAGUCUUACCUGUUGCACAUGCUGCUUUUGAUCUUAAUCAGCCCAUUGAACAGCUGCCACUGGAGGAUUUCGCAGUUCCUGAAGAUCCUUUGCUUGCUGCUGAGAGUGACAAUUUGGGUGCUGAAUCUCCUCCUCAGCCUCAAAGAGAAAUUCCAGUGCCAGAACCACUUCUGCAGCACAAUACUGAAGUACUGCCAGUAGAUUUUGUUUCUGAUGCUCCUAUCAAUGUUGCAGAAGAAGUAUCAAGAUACAAAGAAGUUGCAGUUGCAGUUAUUGUCGGAUUUCAGGUUCCGGCAAAACCCUUGAGGUUCGAACACUGGGGUGCGCACAAAGAUCUGUCUCUCCCUAAAUCGCUCUCGCAACAAUCACAAGGCCUAGCUCGAUGA
rnacentral:rRNA from 1 species